rnacentral:lncRNA from 1 species
AUGGGGCUCGCUCAGCGCAUGGAGGGAGCCGAGCCGGGCCAGGCAGGGCCGAUCCGAGCCGGGCGGGAGCGAGGCGAAGUUUCAGCCCUCAGCAGGCGGCGCGGCCGCUCGCCGCUGGCGCUGCAGCCCGCUGCCGCCUGGGAGGGGGCGCGGAGCCCUGGAGCAUCGCGGCCCCGCGGCGAGCCGCCGGGCGGGCACACAAUGGCGAGGCAGGGAGAGCCCGGGCCGUGCCGAGCCGUGCCGAGCCGAGACGUGCUGCGGGCGGGGCGGCGGGGGCGGGGUCUGCCCGCCCGGCGCUGCGGCACGGUCCCGCGGGGGGACGGCGGGGAGGCGGGCAGGGCGGGUGCGGGGCCGCACGUGAGCCGUGCCCGGGGCUCCCCUGGUGCCCGGUGUGGGGGCAGCGCGAGGCCUGCUGGCUGCUGCGAGAGCCCGCCUGCAGCUACCCCAGCAGAGCUUCACAAGUGCUCACAGCCUCCACUGAAUGUGCUGCUUGUCCAUGUCUAUCUUUCCUUGGGAAGGAGACACAGCAGUCCCUCAGAGCACCGCUUCCUUGUGAUCUCAGGCUGUGAUGCAUGAAAGCAUACAGGAGAUUAAGACUAGAUUAUUUCUGUGAUGAGAGGAAUAAGAAGAACCAAAUGCAAUACCAAAACCAGAGCUGCAGAGGCCACUGUGGGGAACUGGUAGUCACCUGUGG